rnacentral:misc_RNA from 1 species
UUCCGUAGGAACCUGCGGAAGGAUCAUUAAUAAAUGGUCUACGUUUUUUUAAGUAGACGCUUAAUAUCCUACCCUUUGUGAAUUUGUUGUUUGAAAUAAUUUUUUUUAAAUUAUUGAUUGUCUUUCCCUGUUGAAUUGGUUGUCUUAAUGGCAAAUGAUUCGCAGGGGAGUGCAGUAUUUUUAAAAAGACCUUUUUAAAUUAAACUUUUGUAUUCAUUGUCUAAAAUUAUUUUAUAAUAUAAAAACAACUUUGACAAUGGAUCUCUUGUUCUCGCAACGAUGAAGAACGCAGCAAAUGCGAUAGUAGUGUGAAUUGCAGAAUACGUGAAUCAUCGAAUCUUCGAACGCAUAUUGCACUUUUUAGUUACUAAAAAAGUAUGUCUGUUUGAGUAUCAGUAAAUAUUCUCAUAAAAACUUUUGUUUUAUGGUUAUGAGUGUUUACAACGAUACAAGUUGUUUCACUUUAAAUUUUUUUAAAAUUUGAAUUUUUCUAAUUUUAAAAUAAAUUGGAUAAAUUUCCCGUAAAAAGGAAUAACCUAAACAAUUUUAAUUUUUGAUUAGAAUCUUCAAUUAUAAAGGAAAUUUAACUAAAUAACUUGAUCUCAAUCAGAUAAGAGUACCGCUGAACUUAAGCAUAUCAAUAAGCGGAGGAAAGAAACUAACAAGGAUCCUUAGUAACGCGAGUGAAGCGGGAAGAGCUCAAAUUUGAAAUCUUCAAGGUUUUACCUUGACGAAUUGUAGUUUAAAGAAGUGUUUUCUGUUGAAGUUUUGGUAAAGUUCUUUGGAAUAGGACAUCAUAGAGGGUGAGAAUCCCGUAUUUGACCAUUAUUUCAGCUGUGUGAUACACUUUCAAGAGUCGGAUUGUUUGGAUGCAGUCCAAAAUGGGUGGUAAAUUUCAUCUAAAGCUAAAUAUUGGCGAGAGACCGAUAGCGAACAAGUACCGUGAGGAAAGAUGAAAAGAACUUUGAAAAGAGAGUUAACAGUACGUGAAAUUGUCAAAAGGAAGCGUUUGACACCAGGUUGUUUUCUCGAAAAUCAAUUAAAAAAGUUGGAUUUGUGUUGUAUUGACCUUAACAGCUUGCUCACUCUUUCUUGCUUUUUUAAUGCACUUUCGUUUAACAGUCAACACCAGUUUCUUUGUGUAAAAGGGUCAUUGGAAGUGGCUUUCUCUUCGGAGAAAGUGUUAUAGCCUUUGAUCUCUGCAUCGGAGAGACUGAGGUCUGCAGCGUAGAUCCUUCGGGUUAGAUACAUUUGUGCUAAGCUACAGCUUUUCAUAGACAACUUGUUGACUAUGUUUAGUCUUGUAACUUACCCGCUUAUGCUAUUUUACCUACGCUUAGGAUGUUG